AGUUAUAUACUUAAUUAUAAGAUUAUGCCUUGAAAUCAUAAAUUUAAGGGUUAUAACCCUUAAUAACUU
rnacentral:tRNA from 1 species